rnacentral:rRNA from 2 species
AGAGUUUGAUCAUGGCUCAGAUUGAACGCUGGCGGCAGGCCUAACACAUGCAAGUCGAGCGGUAGCACAGAGAGCUUGCUCUCGGGUGACGAGCGGCGGACGGGUGAGUAAUGUCUGGGAAACUGCCUGAUGGAGGGGGAUAACUACUGGAAACGGUAGCUAAUACCGCAUAACGUCGCAAGACCAAAGUGGGGGACCUUCGGGCCUCAUGCCAUCAGAUGUGCCCAGAUGGGAUUAGCUAGUAGGUGGGGUAACGGCUCACCUAGGCGACGAUCCCUAGCUGGUCUGAGAGGAUGACCAGCCACACUGGAACUGAGACACGGUCCAGACUCCUACGGGAGGCAGCAGUGGGGAAUAUUGCACAAUGGGCGCAAGCCUGAUGCAGCCAUGCCGCGUGUGUGAAGAAGGCCUUCGGGUUGUAAAGCACUUUCAGCGGGGAGGAAGGCGAUAAGGUUAAUAACCUUGUCGAUUGACGUUACCCGCAGAAGAAGCACCGGCUAACUCCGUGCCAGCAGCCGCGGUAAUACGGAGGGUGCAAGCGUUAAUCGGAAUUACUGGGCGUAAAGCGCACGCAGGCGGUCUGUCAAGUCGGAUGUGAAAUCCCCGGGCUCAACCUGGGAACUGCAUUCGAAACUGGCAGGCUAGAGUCUUGUAGAGGGGGGUAGAAUUCCAGGUGUAGCGGUGAAAUGCGUAGAGAUCUGGAGGAAUACCGGUGGCGAAGGCGGCCCCCUGGACAAAGACUGACGCUCAGGUGCGAAAGCGUGGGGAGCAAACAGGAUUAGAUACCCUGGUAGUCCACGCCGUAAACGAUGUCGAUUUGGAGGUUGUGCCCUUGAGGCGUGGCUUCCGGAGCUAACGCGUUAAAUCGACCGCCUGGGGAGUACGGCCGCAAGGUUAAAACUCAAAUGAAUUGACGGGGGCCCGCACAAGCGGUGGAGCAUGUGGUUUAAUUCGAUGCAACGCGAAGAACCUUACCUGGUCUUGACAUCCACAGAACUUAGCAGAGAUGCUUUGGUGCCUUCGGGAACUGUGAGACAGGUGCUGCAUGGCUGUCGUCAGCUCGUGUUGUGAAAUGUUGGGUUAAGUCCCGCAACGAGCGCAACCCUUAUCCUUUGUUGCCAGCGGUCCGGCCGGGAACUCAAAGGAGACUGCCAGUGAUAAACUGGAGGAAGGUGGGGAUGACGUCAAGUCAUCAUGGCCCUUACGACCAGGGCUACACACGUGCUACAAUGGCAUAUACAAAGAGAAGCGACCUCGCGAGAGCAAGCGGACCUCAUAAAGUAUGUCGUAGUCCGGAUUGGAGUCUGCAACUCGACUCCAUGAAGUCGGAAUCGCUAGUAAUCGUAGAUCAGAAUGCUACGGUGAAUACGUUCCCGGGCCUUGUACACACCGCCCGUCACACCAUGGGAGUGGGUUGCAAAAGAAGUAGGUAGCUUAACCUUCGGGAGGGCGCUUACCACUUUGUGAUUCAUGACUGGGGUGAAGUCGUAACAAGGUAACCGUAGGGGAACCUGCGGUUG